UACGGGGGGGGGUAAGCGUUGUUCGGAAUUACUGGGCGUAAAGGGCUCGUAGGCGGCCAACUAAGUCAGACGUGAAAUCCCUCAGCUUAACUGGGGAACUGCGUCUGAUACUGGAUGGCUUGGAUUCGGGAGAGGAAUGCGGAAUUCCAGGUGUAGCGGUGAAAUGCGUAGAUAUCUGGAGGAACACCGGUGGCGAAGGCGGCAUCCUGGACCGAGACUGACGCUGAGGAGCGAAAGCCAGGGGAGCAAACGGG
rnacentral:rRNA from 1 species